GCUCAAAUAUGGGGUGAACGCCCUCCGAAGGCAGGGGUCGAAGGUUCGAAUCCUUCUGGGCGCGCCA
rnacentral:tRNA from 1 species